rnacentral:rRNA from 1 species
GACGAACGCUGGCGGCGUGCCUAAUACAUGCAAGUCGAACGCUUUGAUUUUCACCGGAGCUUGCUCCACCGAAAAUCAAAGAGUGGCGGACGGGUGAGUAACACGUGGGCAACCUGCCCAACAGAGGGGGAUAACACUUGGAAACAGGUGCUAAUACCGCAUAAUUUGUUUUUCCGCAUGGAAGAAUAAUAAAAGACGCUUCGGUGUCACUGUUGGAUGGGCCCGCGCUGCAUUAGUUAGUUGGUGGGGUAACGGCCUACCAAGACCAUGAUGCAUAGCCGACCUGAGAGGGUGAUCGGCCACACUGGGACUGAGACACGGCCCAGACUCCUACGGGAGGCAGCAGUAGGGAAUCUUCGGCAAUGGACGAAAGUCUGACCGAGCAACGCCGCGUGAGUGAAGAAGGUUUUCGGAUCGUAAAACUCUGUUGUUAGAGAAGAACAAGUGAGAGAGUUACUGUUCUCACCUUGACGGUAUCUAACCAGAAAGCCACGGCUAACUACGUGCCAGCAGCCGCGGUAAUACGUAGGUGGCAAGCGUUGUCCGGAUUUAUUGGGCGUAAAGCGAGCGCAGGCGGUUUCUUAAGUCUGAUGUGAAAGCCCUCGGCUCAACCGAGGAAGGUCAUUGGAAACUGGGGAACUUGAGUGCAGAAGAGGAGAGUGGAAUUCCAUGUGUAGCGGUGAAAUGCGUAGAUAUAUGGAGGAACACCAGUGGCGAAGGCGACUCUCUGGUCUGUAACUGACGCUGAGCUCGAAAGCGUGGGGAGCAAACAGG